GCUAGUGCGUACUUUCGUCGGGCGAACAUGAUGCAAGCACUGUGUUUGUCGCCGCCAUGUCUCUGGCAAGGGAGUUAGCUGCUCUCUUUGUGUACUGUCGUUUUCAAGAAAAUCGUCUUUUCAAUUUAGGAAGCGAGCGAGGUUCAUUCAGUCUUCUUUGCUCAUACCCGCUGCAAACAGCCUGUGUUGCCUUGGCUACGCCACAAGUCUCUCAACGGUGGAGACUACAUGGAUGAUGGCGUGGGUUUUGCAAUCCUUUCUCAGUCUUGUAGAGAAGGCGCAGAACCAGGGGCCUUCUCCUGCCUGUUGUCUCCUUUGUUUCACCGUGUCCUGUUCUCGUGCGACAGACGGCAUGCUUUUUCGCAUGCUCUCUGUCAUUGUCGAGGCUCAUUUAAGAAGUGUUUCUUUUUUUCGAUGCCUUUGCUUGUUGCCUUCAUGUGAGAGAUGACUGGAAUUUGGUCGCGCGUAGAUGCUACUGCCGCCAUACAAAACAAUUCACGCUCAGCUACUCGCCACCCUUUUUUGUUGCAUUUCUACCCGUUCUCUGCUAUGUCGGUUGCCGUUUAGAAAUGUUGAUAAUGAGGUUUUUUGAGCAAGCAGACGCUUCCAAUAGAAAGCCGCAGGAGAAAUAAUGCGCUCCAGUAGUGGGAAGCCGCCUAGGCAUCGAUACGCCAUGGGAUUGUAUCAGGCGCGCAGCUCGCGUGAGAACUGCCAAAUGAAAUUGGGGAGCACGGAUGAGCAAACUAGCCAAAAAAUGCGUAUGCACUCCACCCUCUUUCGUUUUUCCUCGGCGGCCUCGGGCACAGGCGCGAGGCACGGAGCAGCCAGGCCCAUGGGGACGAAGGGAACUUGUGUUGAAUACCCGAGAAGACCUGGCAGACGCAACGAAGAGAGACUGUGUGUCGGUCCUCCGUUCAUCGUCUGUUGUUGCGUUGCGUGCUAUCUUCCAGGGACUCGAAGACGGCCAAGCAACGGUAAGCAACCUCUUUUGUUCGUCCUUCAAAACAAGGCCAGCCACGCCUUAGUGGUCUCUUCUUUCCACAGAAAGCGUCUCCUGUUAUGCCGCCUCGUUUUGUUUGUAGUAUCUAGAUUCAGUCAUUCAGUUCUCGGGAAACGUGUCCCUAGAGAAUCUGAUGGAACUCGCAUCCCGUACACUUCAUCUUCGCCUCUUGUGUCCUGGCCAGUUCUUUUUUUUUAACGAGUUCACCCUUUGCUGUUUCGCGAAGGUGAAGAAGCCUACGUCCGUGGCUGCCCUUCCGCCUCAAUCUGCUCUUAACACUUCCUUUCAUCUAUUGUCCCACACCCCCUUCGUGUUCGGAACCUACCAGUCUGUAUUCGCUUGCCUCCACAUUUUCAUCGGCGGCUCUACGCGUCUGCUCUUGCGUGCAUGUGGAAGACCUGUGUCAGCUGGCCCGCAGCGAAACCACAUGUGCAUGCGUCCCCCAAGCGUUUUGCAACGACCUGCGUGUCUGUCCAAGUGUGCCCACUGCAAGUUCCGCUA
rnacentral:lncRNA from 1 species